UACGAAGGGGGCGAGCGUUGGUCGGAAUUACUGGGCGUAAAGCGCACGUAGGCGGAUAUUUAAGUCAGGGGUGAAAUCCCUAGGCUCAACUGCGGAACUGCCUUGGAUACUGGGUAUCUAGAGUAUGGAAGAGGUGAGUGGAAUUCCGAGUGUAGAGGUGAAAUUCGUAGAUAUUAGGAGGAACACCAGUGGCGAAGGCGGCUCACUGGUCAAUUACUGACGCUGAGGUGCGAAAGCGUGGGGAGCAAACAGGAUUAGAUACCCGCGUAGUCC
rnacentral:rRNA from 1 species